rnacentral:rRNA from 1 species
AGUGAACGCUGGCGGUAGGCCUAACACAUGCAAGUCGAACGGCAGCACAGUAAGAGCUUGCUCUUACGGGUGGCGAGUGGCGUACGGGUGAGGAAUACAUCGGAAUCUACUUUUUCGUGGGGGAUAACGUAGGGAGACUUACGCUACUACCGCAUACGACCUACGAGUGAAUGCAAGGGAACUUCGGACCUUGCGCGGUUGAAUGAGCCGAUGUCGGAUUAGCUAGUUGGCGGGGUAAAGGCCCACCAAGGCGACGAGCCGUAGCUGGUCUGAGAGGAUGAUCAGCCACACUGGAACUGAGGCACGGUCCAGAACACUACGAGAGGCAGCAGUGGGGAAUAUUGGACAAUGGGCGCAAGCCUGAUCCAGCCAUACCGCGUGAGUGAAGAAGGCCUUCGGGUUGUAAAGCCCUUUUGUUGGGAAAGAAAAGCAGCAGGUUAAUACCCCGCUGUUCUGACGGUACCAAAAGAAUAAGCACCGGCUAACUUCGUG